rnacentral:misc_RNA from 1 species
AUAAAUAAAUAAAUAAAGUAAAAAAUGCUAUUAUAUACAUUCAGCUACUUCAUAAGAUCAAUGAAGUUAAUAUCCUUGAUACCUGCUGCAUCAUGGGAGUUGAUGCUCUUCUAUAACAUGCAUCCUCGUAUUCUUCUUGAUUUAGUUCUCAACAUUCUCAUCUUUCUCGAUUGGAAUUUUUUCCUUAACGUGAUCCUGUGCUUUUGGAAUAUCUUUGACCUUCAUUGGCUCACGAGGCAAGUUUGGGGGCAAAGGUGCAGAUACUGUAUACUUCUUCUUGGUUGCAUUUAAGGGCUCAGGUUUUUUCCGAGCCUCUUUCAUGAUCACCUCUGGAUUAUCAAUAUCUUUGACACUUUGUGGUUCUACAGGUACAUGUGGAGACAAGGAUAUGGACGCUGUAGACAUGUUAUCUGACUUCUUAAUUGGAUUUAAGGGCUCAAGCUUUUUACCGGUGUCUUUCACCUCGUCAUAAAUAUCUUUUACCUUCAAUGAAUCAGGAGGCACCAACGGAUGUGAAAGUGUAACCACUGUGUCAACAUUCCUUGACUGAUUCAUUGGUUCAACCUUCUUAUUAUCAUCAGAGCGUAACCUCUCUGGCGGAUCAAGAAUGCUUGGACGCGAAGAUGAAAUGCUAUUCUCUUCUUCUAUUGGAGAUUUUGAAUAUGGGGAGACAGGCAGCUGGGGUUUAUCUGUUCCCUUAUUUGGCGAGCGCAAAAGGCUGGAUAUAUGGUCACAAAUUUCUUUGACGUCGAUUUGGAUGCCCUUCAACUUGUCCUUAAUGUCUUUGACAUCUUCAGAAGUGUCUUUCACCUUGCCCUCGAUCUCUUUCACCUUUCCUUCAAUUUCUUUGACCUGGUCACCGAUGUUUUGGAUGUCUUUCACCUUUUUCUCAAUUUCUUUGACGUUGUCACUGAUGUUUUCGAUGGCUUUCACCUUAUUUUGGAUAUCUUUCACCUGGUUUUGGAUGUCUGUCACCUCUUUUUGGAUGUCUUUCACAUGUUCUUGAUUUUUUUUCACCCCUAUUAUAGUCUCAAUCAUAGCAAUCUCAUAGAACCUGCUAAGCGAGUUAUCCAAGUCGAUAAGAUCAUUCAUAUAAUUACGAGGCUUACUGAAGCAACUGCAACAUUUUUUUUCUGAUGAGCAUUUACGAACAAGCUGCUCCCCAUCCUGUAUUUGCUUCCACAAUUUCUUUAUUUCAGUAUUUCCCCCAGCUAUGUCGUUGUUUAGCUCUUGGAUCCUUUGAUAACUUGGCUUUAUCAAGCUAAUCCUGGUUUCGACACGUUGCAAGAUUUCUUCAUACUUUUCUGAUUUCAACUUCACUUCCGUCACAGCAGUUAGCAACUUUCCUAAUACCGCUUCCACAGCUACAUCCACUAAAAACAUAUCGAUUGCUCCUUUUCAAGUGAAGGGGAAAAAAAAAAAUCUUG